AGGACCCUAGUUAACCUAUAACACUUGCUUGUCACGCAUGAGUAGCCCUUUUGGGCGAGUCCUG
rnacentral:tRNA from 1 species